rnacentral:rRNA from 1 species
GAUGAACGCUGGCGGCGUGCCUAACACAUGCAAGUCGAGCGAACCCUUCGGGGUGAGCGGCGGACGGGUGAGUAACGCGUGGGUAACCUGCCCUAUACACACGGAUAACGUACCGAACGGUGCGCUAAUACGGGAUAAAGUUGUUGGAUGGCAUCUUCUAACAAUCAAAGCUCCGGCGGUAUAGGAUGGACCCGCGUCUGAUUAGCUAGUUGGUGAGGUAAUGGCUCACCAAGGCGACGAUCAGUAGCCGACCUGAGAGGGUGAUCGGCCACACUGGAACUGAGACACGGUCCAGACUCCUACGGGAGGCAGCAGUGGGGAAUAUUGCACAAUGGGCGAAAGCCUGAUGCAGCAACGCCGCGUGAGCGAUGAAGGUCUUCGGAUCGUAAAGCUCUGUCCUCAAGGAAGAUAAUGACGGUACUUGAGGAGGAAGCCCCGGCUAACUACGUGCCAGCAGCCGCGGUAA